UGGGAACUGCCUAUCCUGGUUUGAAGCGCAGAGUAAUUCCUGGUGAACCAUUAGUGGUAUCAAUGCUUUAAUUGCAGUGAACAUGAAAUGGAAAAAUAUCACCAAUCUGACCUGAGCAUUCUCAGAUACCUGCAGUGUCCUAAUAGUUACCAGUAUCAUCUUGAAUGCUAUUCAGUUUGUCCUCUGUAGACCACAGCUCUUAUCAGUCAGCUGGACCCUCUAACAUCAACCUUCUGUACACUCCAGUUUUUAUUUAUACCUUAAACACAGCCAGACCAGCUUUAUUUGAACUUGCCAAAGAAGUGGACUCCUGGAAGGUGUCCAAGUUUAUAUUGACUGGGGGAUUUGAUUCAAAUAUUUGUUUUAAAACUCUCCUGAAAAGAAUAUCUGGUGUCAGAGCCAACAUAACGUAAUAGCCCUAAUGCAUUGCCCUUUUCUGUCUCCCUCCUUCUGCAAAUUUCAAAAUGUUCUGCAGAAAUGUAUGAGUGUCUGUAAGUAUAAUCCUUUCUGCUUGGAAAGCAAAAAUAUAAAAGGUAACUUGCCCAAAUCUAUAGCAAGAUGGAAAAUAGAGCUGAAAGGCUCCCUAAUCCUGGAUGUCAGCUAAAACAUCAUGCCUAAAGCCAGAUGGUUCUAGGUAAAUCAAUGCUGGCAUUGCUGAUUCUGCGUUGAUUCUGUAUAGAGCUUUCUGUGUGUAAGAUCAACAGUAAUAAGACCCCUUUUGGCUUCAGGGAUUUACCUGUGAUGAGGUUCACUGCUCUGUAAAUAGAUUUACAGCCUUCCAUUGUGGAUGAUAUGAGUUUGACCCAGCUAAGGCAAAAUCAGAUAGCACCAUCAUCUUGUAGCUCCCCAUAAAGCAUCCAUUCCUUGCUAUUAGUUGUGAAGAAGUAAGCCAGUGUUUAAUAAGGGCUGAGAAAGUAGAGCCUUGACUUAAACUGAGCACAGCUGCUCGUUUGUUCCUCGGUUGUGCGUGAGGGCAAGCAGUGUUCUGGCAUGCUCUUGGUUCCCUAAAAGCACUGCUGAGGGAUCUCACUAUUUUAACAGGCAGGUCACCAGGCUCCCAAAGUGACGGCAGCUGAUGCCUCUGGAGAGCUGGCUGUUCCCCAGGCCUUGGGGAGAGCAGAUGCUGGGAAGGAUGCCCUCACCGUGGGAACCACGGUCUGAACCUGGAAGUGUGGUGACAAAUCAGUUCAGCUGUCUGGAGGGGAGGGGCUGGGCUUUAUUUACCUUGCAAAAGUGGUCUGCCAGGUGGCUGAGGUGGAUGAAAGCAGGGACUGUGGUGGUGGCUGGUCAGAGCUCCGAACUGAUGAAACCAAUGUUGGGCUUCUUCAGUGUAGAUGGAUGUGUGAGAUCACCUGAGAGUUGAGGAGUCACCUAUGGUUACCCAGAGGGACUGGGACAGCUUGCCCACCGGUGGCUGUAUGAAGGACCAGGUAGCCCAUCCCUGCUGAAGAGGAUAUGCUGUCAGUUUGCAGGGGUUGACAGCUGAUUUCCUUCCUCUUUCUCUUUGAAGAUCUCAGCUCUUCUUUUGUAGUUGUUAGUUAAACUGUUGGCCCAGCGUCUGGUAGAGUUCUCAAACUUUGCAGCUCGGUUGAUGCACAAUGUAUUAUAAGAUCUCAGGAACUGCGAACUCUUGCCAGAAAGUAAACAGUUAGGACAGAAGUACAAAGGGUAGCAUUUGCUUUAUUCUUUUGCACACAGAUAGUUGAUUGCCAAACAUCCACAUCAGGUUUGGGGCGUGAAGUUCUUGAUCUUAUGUUUGUGAUUUCAAACAAGAAGUACUCAUAGCCAACACAGUGUGAAACGCAUAUGUGUAUUUUGUUGUUCUGUGUUUCUAGUUGUUUUCCUCCAUAACCUUUUUAUAGUACUUCCAGGUUCCUCUUUGCUCUUCACAAGUUACAUGCAGUUUGCAUUGAGUUUGAAUUGCCCAAGCACGUAAGGGCAGGAGGCAGUGAAAUAGACCAGGCUGAGCUUUCUCUCAGUGGGAGAGCUUGCCUUGCUAUUGACUUUCAAAAAAAGUUUGUUUGAUUGUAUUUGUCUUUAGUGGUUGGGAAAAUCAGCACUGGAGUUGCUUUAAUUGGCAGAGGUACUCAACAGCAAAGAACAUGCUGUUUAUUAUGUAUGCGGAGUGCCGUUUUAAUGGCUACUACGAAUCAAAGAGGAUUUGUAUUUAUUUCAUUAGGUGUUUUUGACUAUUCCAGCCCAAAUUAAUGUAUAAAGAUUUUAUAUAAGCUUACUCACCCAAGAAGUGUUGAAAGAAUAUUGGUAAGGUUACAAAGUGAGGGCCAAAGUUGGGAAACGUUUGGAUAUAAGUAGUCUAUCCAGCUUACAUUCCUUUCCUUUCUACAGAUGCAUUAAGAUACAGCUCUGAUAUAUAAGCCUGUAAUAUAGCAUUUGAGUUGUGCUGAGGUAACCUACCAGGCCUUCAGCUUCCUUGCAUCCAUACAGACACUGGGCAGUGCUACCAUCUUCAGUCCUUUCUUUGCAGAAAUAAUAUCAAUCACAGAGAAGAACAACAAAAUUCCUGCCAAGGGAUGGUAGGCAUAUGGUGAAGCAUUCUCCUGUGAAGCACAGAUCAUGGGAAGAUGCUGUGGCAGAUCUGCCAGCCCUGUGUCUUUUCUUCUGUUCUCGGGUGGCAAUAGGGAUGUCUGCUUGGGCAGCUGAAUGCCACUUUCAGUAUCCAUUUGCUAUCCCACGAGUUUAAACACUGGAUCACAUGCAGACACUUAUGCUGAGACACCUAAGCUUGAGCUGGGUUGACUCCUGCUGAUAAUGUCAGAUUAUCCAAUCUCAUAUCUAUUUGUGCAAGAGGAGUCCAUUCUGGUUUUUUUGGAGGUAGUCAAUAGUGAAUGUUAAUCUGCCCAUUCACUGCAAAAUCACCUCAUUCCCAUCCUGUGAGAGGACAGUCUCUGCACUGACUCUACCUCAUGGCUGUUUCUUAAUCCCAGUUUCCAUUUUAGGGGUGUCUGAGCUCAGUUUCAAUCCCCUUGCCCAGGAUUAGAUUCUUUUCUCUAUUUCUGCCUCCCCUUGCUCCAGUGGUGAUAUUUCCAGAUGUGUGGCUGCUUGUUAGCUAGUCUUGUCAAACUCUUCCAUCCUCCUUCUCCUUUUUUACCUCUUGAUGGUGCCAAUUGCUCAGCUCCCAGUGCCAGUACCAUGGCUGCCAGUGUUUGUGUCAGCAUCCCCAUAUAAAGCAGCUGCAUUUAGGUGUUUUUUUGUAAGAACAGAAAUGUUUGUGGGGUGUAGUCUGUCCUGCUGAAUUGAAGCUCUUUGAUUAAAACCAAGAACAAGCUAGAAAUUUCCCACUUGAAGUCACCAUCAAAUUGUUUCUGCUAACUAAAAAAAAAAAAAAAUAAAAAAAAGAGUUUUUCCUGCAACGUUUUUGAGAAAUGGCUGAAAUAUUUUGGCUGAAGUUUCCCCAGUCAGUUCCUGUUUGGGGCAGAUGCAGCUUUGAAAAACUUCUGCUCUUUCUCAUUACUACUUGGCAAGGCUUAAAGGCAACUUAAAACAGGUUGUUAAAAUAGAAAUUGCCAAAUAGUUGAUUCAGAUGCAAUUCCAGUUUUGAAUAUGUGUCUGUAGCUGAAGCCAUAUAUCAAGUUUAUGACCUUCAAACUAGUUUUGUAAGGUAUGAGAGCUGCUGACUUGCACUGCAGCAUUCUGAGCAGCCGACACAGGAACUGCUCUUUAUGAUUUUUAUAAACCAAAGAACUUCAGUAGUGGGGAAAGCUUGCUGUGGAAUGCUCUGUAUUGUCCUAUUACCUCAUUUCUUCUAUGAAAAAAAGAGACAAAUUUGGCUUGAAAGCAUCAUUUAAGCAGCUGAAUGUUUGUGGUUACGUCUGGAGGAACUAGCUGAGCUGGUGAUUGCUUGCAACAACAAAUUAAGUUUCUUAAAAUUGUGUGCAGUGACACUUGUUGCCAGUGAGCAUAUUGUUCAUGGGUGAGUUGAGAGAGAGACAGAAACAUUAAGAUAGCCCCACACUGCUGUACUUGUUUGUUUUUUUUUGGAUAGAAAUGUCUCCAGUUCUUUCCUUCUUUGCGGUGUUCAUCUGCCAGCAUUGGUGCUAGCACCUUCAAAGGCUUCACACUACAAGGAUCACGAGAACAUUUGUGACACCCUGUAUACCGAGCCACAAGCGCACAACGGUCCACAUCAUAUUUCACAGCAUCUAAUAACAAAGCGUAGACCUGUCACAAAAAACAAAAGCUGCAACCAUGAUCUGCCACAGGAAAGGGGCUGGAAUCAUCAAGUAUGCUACCAGUUUUUUAUUUUGAACUACACUUUCCUGGCAGGAAGAAUUUGUUAGAUAAAUUUCCCAGGUGGCCGUGGAAAAGGGACCACACAUCAAAAGAUGAAAAGCAAACAACCAAACAAAGCACUUUCACACUGGACCUGGAAGGAAGGCAGAAGAGGAAAUUCUUCCUGUCCCAAAGCUCUCCAUUUGUUUUGACCAAAGUUCUCCAUUUGCUUUAACCUUGAGCAUAUGAAUCACCUCUUCUUCUCCCAGUGAUCUUCUAUACAGCCCAUGCAAGAGCAUUACUUUUAUCCUUUCGGUACAAGAGCUUCAAACUCUAGCACUUACCAAAAUAAACCUAUUUAUUUUUGCAAAACUAAAGUGAGUAAUGUGUUCAAGAGGAAGGUUAGCCAUGUAAUAACAGAUGAUGCUGGUGUUCAGUUUUCUCUUGAUGGUUCUGUGUGAGCCAGCUUUGUCUUGGAAAACCACAGCUAGUGUUAUCAAAGGCAGGUGGGUAAAGGCUAUUGGCUUGGGUGUUAAGCUCCAUGUUAACUUUAAAUGUAGGCAGUGGUCACUUCCAUCCUUGACUUUGAAAUCCGUCAUUUUGAAAUGGCAUACUGCAGGCAGUUCUGGGGCCUCUGUUUUAAUCUCCUGGUUCCUUUCUGCAUCUCUUCCUUCUGCUCUAGAGAAAAUAGAUCAAAAUAGCUCAGUAUCUACCAUGGCUCGAGGUGCUGUCACCACACUACACAAAAAUCUGACUCCAUAGACGAUCUCCCAAGAGCACUGAAACAUUAUGCUGCAAAGUUUAAGAUGUUUCCAUAUCCCUUUCCUUGAAAUUGUGCCUGCCAAUAAAACUUCAGUGGAAAUCUGUUCUGAAGCUCUGAUGAGAGGCAAUUGGGCUCUGACACUGAAGAGAACGUUCUGCAGAGAAAAAUUCUGCAUGAAAGCCGUGGCUGGGGUGGAAGGCAGCUUAUUACAUGAGCCAGCAUGCUGGCAGCACCGCAGCUGGAGGUCCCCACGGACCCUGCAGUCUGUUAAAUGUUGGUAUUUCAGGUGUGUGGGACUGGAAGGCCAGGGGACUGGGAAAUUUGCUUUUCACAUUUCUUUGCAAUCAAGACGAGAAUCAGUGGUCCUGGAGAAACAAAUACCUCAAGCCCUGUGCAGUUAAGAAUGUUUAUUUUGUUUCAGGAUGUUAUAACUGGUGUAUUAUGCCACAUUAGCAGUGUUUUAAGUCUGAGUGCUACGAGAGGGCAAUCCAAGAGUAUUCUGGAGCUGUAUUACUCCUUUUCCAAAACAGCUGCCACCUUGUGCGUUCUCUAAAAGAGCGCUGCCAACAGUAAGCGCACAUAGCAAUUAAUGUAUUCUAAAAUACAGUUCUCAGAGUAUUUUAAUGAACUGUAGGGGUGGAUUGUCUUUGGCAGGAAGCACUGCAGAGGUAUCCAGCAGAAAGGGCAAGGGUGAAAGGCUUGGAGUGGUUUGCACAGCCCUCAGCCGGUGGCUGUUUGUUGAUCCAGCGGUGCUGUUUGUCACACUCAGUGCUGGUGUCCCACCAAAUGCCACCCCAGGGUUCCUAAUGCUGCCUGUUUAGUGCUGUGCUAUCAUCGCUGCAUCCAAAUCACACCAACUGGUGCACGUUGAUACAUGCUGUUCUGUAAGAAGGCACUGUGACUGAAUAGCACGUAGUCUAAAGAAGCAGAAAAUGAUGCUUUCAAUUACAGAAUGCUCCCCAAGAAACAAGAUUUAGUUCUCCAACCUUCCAAACAGGUGAUGCUGCUGUUCUAGAGCCUCAUUCCUGCUCAAAAGCUCACCUGGCACUGGUAGCUGCAGGGUGCCUCGUGGGAGCUCUGCAAGUUUGGGUUUAAUUCUGGUUAAGCAAACUACCUCUCCAAUUCUAAAGACAGAGUUGAGCAUUCUGGUCACUGCCGUAUUUUUUUCAACAUAAUUAUGUUUUUGGUUAGAAGUGAUGACUGAGAUGAAAUCGGGGCAUCCUUGCUGACUUCUGUUUUUCUCCAGGGCUGUAUCUUCAGCUGUGCUGCUUGGUUUUAGCAAAGUGGGGUGCAGCUGGGAAUGAGUCUUAGGUGUCCAUGACUAAGAAAGCCAAUGAAAACAUUCUCAAUGGGAUUUUAAUAUCAGCAGACCUUAUAAUUACAAAUACUGUCCUGGGAACAUUAAAACAAGUGCCAGGAAGAUGCCCAUAAAGCAAUCAGGUUGGCUGAUUGGAUUUCAUCUGUAGAUAACGAGCAGUAGCUGUUGUGUAGAAAAUUGAAAGCUUGAAAGACAGAAGAGCUGGUGAGGACUGGGCAGCUUGGUAAUGGCUAGAGGUUACUUGCUGCUUCAGGCAAAUGGGUAAAGUUGUUCAUUAUUUAUUUACUGUUUAUUGUUUGCUCUGCCAAAUUUGGGACAAGAAUGCUAAAAGGGAAUUUCAAAGGGAUGGUUCACAGCUAGGCUGUGAAACCAACUGACUGGAAAUGCAAUGCUGCUGCCACUCUGCUCCUGCAACCACUGGGAGAGGUUGUAGUGUCAGCCUUUCUUCUUUUUCUCACACAGCUCAGCCUUCCAGGAAGGCACUGACGGGACAUUUGUUAUUUUGGAUACAACUUUCACAUAUAACAGAGAGUAUGGACUAGGAAAGGUGGGAAGGCUUGAAAGCAUUCAUAUGCAGCACUAGCUUUUAUAUAUGCACCCAUAGCUUUAUGUGUGUAUGUGUUACUAGGGAGGUUAUAAUCUUUAUACACAUUAUUAUUCUUAUUGCUCAGGUUCUGAUUAUGAGUAAGAUGAAUUCAGUUAUACCUUUUUGUUUGCUGUGUAUGUAGGUUUCUCCCUCCAUAAGGCUGUACCUUUUCCUUUAUUUCAUGAAUCUCUCAAGCGAAAAUCCCUUUUGAUGGCCUUAGUGACUGUUUUGUGUGCAAUGCCCUAUCACUUCUUUAAUAAAGCACAAAAAAGAAUGCUAAAGAAAUGCUCGUAAGCUUUUCUUCUGCAAUGAUCCUUUGUGGUUGCAUUUGUGCUUAUAAAUUAUUAUUACUAUUUUGUUGGUUGGCUAUUUGUUGAGUUCUUUAAAACCAAAUUACAUUCACUUUUCUUUAGGCCAAUUGUACUUCUAGGACGUAUUUAAAAAGCUGUUGCCCGUGGUCAGAGACUGGGAGAACACGUUUUUCUUUCUGAUGGGGAUAGAUUUCUUUAUUACUGACAUGGUAAAAAUAGGAAGUAAAGCUUGAACUCUGAGUACUUUGUUAGUUUUUUUAAUUAUUAUUUUGAAUUUUUUUUUUCAAAUAAUUCCCUGCAGUGGAAAUCAAACAUUUCUUCUUAAAAUAACUGCUCUCUCACCGGAUGCUUCCUAUAUCCAGGACUGCUCUUUGCAAACUUAAAUAAACACUGGGCUCUUAUCACACAUGGCAUCUAUUUCAGAGCUCCUUACCACAGGGUUCCGCUGUGCCAGUGGAUGCUACAAUAAAAAAGCAGGGCUUUGCCUCCAGGCUUUCUGCUGCCCUCUGGGGAGGGAACAUGGCUCUGUGUGAGGCUCCCACACUUGGCAUUACCCAGCCGCUUAUCAGCAUCUGUAGAGCAUUUUUCUCCAAGAGCUCAUGGAGUCAUGGAAGGUUGCAAAAGACCACUGAGAUCAUCAAGUCCAACCGUCAACCCAUCCCACCAUGCCCACUGACCACGUCCUCAGUGCCGCAUCUCCGUGGUUCAGGAACACCUCCAGAGACAGUGACCCCACCGCCUCCCUGGGCAGCCUGUGCCACUGCAUUGCUGCUCUUAGAACGGGGCAACUCGC